GAAACUGGUAUGUGCACAUGAAUGUAGGUGCCCUAGGAGACCAAGUAUGUCAGAUCCCUUGGAGCUGGAGUUACAGGCCGUUGCUAGCCACCUGAUGUGUAUGCUGGGAAUCUAGCUCAGGUCCCCUGCAGAAGCAGUCUUCCCUCUGAACCACUGAGCCAUCCCUCCGGCCCUAGGAUGAAGUAUCUCUAUGUGAAAGCAGCAGCAAUGGAAAAAGAAGAAGAAGAAGGAGAAAGAAGAAGAUUUCCCCCCUGCAUAAAUGAGCUUUGCUGUUGUCAUGCUGGUGCUUGCUCUUCAAAGCAAAAAAGAAAGGCAGGAAGGCCAGGCAGGUGCUUCCCCAGGUCAUGAGCAGGAGGCACUGUGAGGUGCAAGACACACUGUGAGGUGCAGGAGGCACUGUGAGGUGUAGGAGGCUCUGUGAGGUAUAGGAGUCUCUGUGAGGUAUAGGAGGCUCUGUGAGGUGCAGGAGGCUCUGUGAGGUGCAGGAGGCUCUGUGAGGUAUAGGAGGCUCUGUGAGGUAGAGGAGGCUCUGUGAGGUAUAGGAGGCUCUGUGAGGUGCAGGAGGUUCUGUGUAGGCAGCCCCACCUUUGGUGGACAGUGCUUUUUUUCUUGCUUUGCUAUGGUAGGGAUAGAGUCUAUCUAACCUUUGUAAGAGCUCUGAAGGUUCAGAUACUGAGUCUGGAGACUGGAGAUACUCUUCAGCAAUUAAGAACACUGACUGCUCUUCCAGAGGAUCUGAAUUCGGUUCCCAGCACUCCCAUUGAGUGGCUCACAGCUGCCUGCAACUCUAGCUCCAGGGGACCUGAGGCCUCUGGCUUUCCAAGACUGCAUUUCUGAGCAGAUGCAGACACAGACAUGUAUACACAAUUAAAAAUAAUAAAUAUAAACCUUUUUGGAAAAAUUUAGUCUGA
rnacentral:lncRNA from 1 species